CCCAGCCAAUAGUAAUUAUUUUGAAUGAACUUGCUUGGCAAAGUAAAAAGUUAGCCAUCCCCUGUUGGCCCCUCCCCACGAAGUCUUUCAUGGUGCAAGAAAUCCUCAAAUGUGGGAAGCAGUAUUUUAGUGUGAAUCCCCAACAGGAUGGACUCCUGCUCUCAUCCAGAAUCCAGAGGCAGGACACAGCAUGUCCUCAGUGAUGGGCCAAGAACAACUCCGCAGAGGCCUCCUGGGGCAGGAGAGACGCAUGAACACACACACCUUCUUGGGCACACAUCCACAGCACACACCCUGAGAGCCCCUGGAAGGGGGAGCCCAGCCUCCCUUGGCAUGUGAUUGGCUGUCCAGCCUAAGAUGUGGCGGAUGCUCCAGAGCUGACCAGAGGCACAGAGAUGACAUCACUGUCUCUUUCUGGAAACAGCAAUGACAGAGAAGACCACAGCGAGUGAUAAAGUCUCUGAAUCUUGCCCAGCCCCAAGUGCUCCCUCCAGGAUCUUCCUCUGGACUCUCCAUCUCUCCCCUUUCCCUAAGAAGAUCACCCGGGUCCUGCCUCUCCAAGACUGCUCGUGGGAAUACACACUGUCACCCACACAAGACAGCCUGCUCAACGAGUACUUGCAUCGCCAGCAUCCACAGUCUGCAGAGGUCAGCAACAGUUUUUAUUUCUGAAACACAUAGCUUUUCUCAUCCAACUUGCCCAGAAAUCCAGGAGGUAGAUAUCAUUCCCAUUUUACAGACGAGGAAACAGAAGCCUGGGGAGGUUAAGUAACUCCUCCAGUAUCACAUGUAAUAAGUGACAGAACCAGCACUCAAACCCAGGCAGUCAAGCUCUUUCCCCUCCCCAAGGAGUCUCACAGAGCAGCAGUUUAAAGAACCAUGUCUGGGUGAUAUCUUCUGGUGCUUCUAUGAGCAUUCAUGGAAUUGUUGCAUAUGUGAUGUGCAGGUCAUGAGAAUGUGUGAUGUUCUUGCAUCAUUUUAUGCUGCUUUGGACUUGAAGCAGCAUUUCUCAGAUACAGAAAUUAUGUUGGCAAGUUAAGUUGGAUGACAACUACCUACACCCGUAUUUUCUUUUAUUAAUCAAAUACAAAUGUAGCUGAGGUAUAUGGCCUCAUUCGAUCCUCACAACCCCUUAUGAGACUGAAACAGUGGUAAAGUGAUUCCUUCUUCCACAUUGUGAAUUUCCUUCACGGAAAAUUCUGAACAUACAGUACUUCAAAACGUAAAUCUUUUCCACAGUGUCACAGAUUUCAAACUAAUUAUAAAUACUACAUAUAAAUGCUGUGUAAAUAUGACAUAUACACACACACACACUAUAAAUGCUAUAUAUUUAUAUGGUAACAUCUAAAUGCCAGGUACUGCUCUAAACACUUUCCAUAGUAACUCAUUUAAUAAUUACAAUCACCCUAUGAAGUAGAAACUUAUUUUUUUCAAAGAUAUUUUUAAAUUAUUAAUUUUUAUGGCUGCAUAGGUGUAUCUAUUUAGGGGUACAUAAGAUAUUUUGAUACAGGCAUAUAAUGCAUAAUAAUCACAUCAGGAACUGGGCGCGGUGGCUCAUGCCUGUAAUCUCAGUACUUUGGGAGGCCGAGGC
rnacentral:lncRNA from 1 species